GAGCUCUGGAGCUGAGCUGUCUUGAAUUGAGGAAAGGAGGUUGGUCUUUAAACACCCGCAGUGACCAGUAAUUGGGUGUGGGCAGCUUCCAGGGAGGGGGCAUGACCUGGGUGAGGGCAAGUUCUAGAUAAAAACUCAGCUGAGAGUUGGCAGCUGUGUACAUUUCCAGCAUCUGGGAGAAUAAGUGCUUCAUUUCUUUUUCUUUUCUUUUUUUUUUUUUUUUUUUCGGUAGAGACAAGGUCUCUCUCUGUUGCCCAUGCUGGCCUUGAAUUCCUGGGCUCAAGCAAUCUUCCUGUCUUGGCCUAUCAAAGUGCUGGGAUUACAAGCAUGAGCCACUAUGCCUAGCUGUAUGCUUCAUUUCUAAAGGGAGUAUAUUAGUCUAUUCUCACACUGCUAUAAAGAUCCUACCCAAGACCGGGUAAUUUAUAAAGAAAAGAGGUUUAAUUGGCUCAUACUUCCACAUGGCCGGGGAGGCCUCAGGAAACUUACAAUCAUGGUGGAAGGUGAAAGGGAAGCAAGGCACAUCUUCAUAAGGUGGCAGGAGAGAGAGAGAGUGCAGGGGAAACUGCCACUUUUAAAACCAUCAGGUCUCAUGAGAACUCUCUCACUAUCACGAGAAGACAAUGGGGGAAACCACCCUCAUGAUUCAGUCAACUCCCACCAGGUCCCUCCCUCAACACAUGGGGAUUACAAUUUGAGAUGAGAUUUGGGUGGGG
rnacentral:lncRNA from 1 species